rnacentral:lncRNA from 1 species
UCAUCGCAGCAAAAUAGUGGAAGCAACUUCAAUGCCUGUUGGAAGGAGUUGGUUAUAUAAGUCCAUCCGUGGAAGAGCUAACUUAAUUGAGUUUUUUCCAUGCCAGAUGGAGUCUCACUGUCACCCAGGCUGGAGUGCAGUGGCGCGAUCUCAGCUCACGGUAGCCUCAACCUCCUGGGGUCAAGCAAUCUUCCCACCUCGGCCUCCCAAGUAGCUGGGACUACAGGGAGUCUGCUGUAUCUGUGAGGACCAGCUAAAUAUUAAACCUGGCUCUGUGCCCUCUGCUGCAUUGUGCUCAAGGCUUUAUACACAUCAUCUCAUUUGACUUCGUGACUAUCUAAGGUGAGAGAUUCUUCUAUUAUUCCC